rnacentral:rRNA from 1 species
UACGUAGGUGGCGAGCGUUAUCCGGAAUGAUUGGGCGUAAAGGGUGCGUAGGCGGACUGUCAAGUCAGCGGUAAAAUGUCCGGGCUCAACCCGGGCCGGCCGUUGAAACUGAUGAUCUUGAGUGGGCGAGAAGUAUGCGGAAUGCGUGGUGUAGCGGUGAAAUGCAUAGAUAUCACGCAGAACUCCGAUUGCGAAGGCAGCAUACCGGCGCCCAACUGACGCUGAGGCACGAAAGCGUGGGUAUCGAACAGG